GAUGAACGCUAGCGGCAGGCCUAAUACAUGCAAGUCGAACGGGAUUAAGAGGCUUGCUUCUUAUGAGAGUGGCACACGGGUGCGUAACACGUAUGCAACCUACCUUCAACUGGGGGAUAGCCUUCCGAAAGGGAGAUUAAUACCGCAUAAAAUAAUUGAGUGGCAUCACUUGAUUAUCGAACGUCAGGGUUGAAGAUGGGCAUGCGUCCGAUUAGUUUGUUGGUGAGGUAACGGCUCACCAAGACUACGAUCGGUAGGGGAUCUGAGAGGAUGGCCCCCCACACUGGUACUGAGACACGGACCAGACUCCUACGGGAGGCAGCAGUAAGGAAUAUUGGUCAAUGGACGGAAGUCUGAACCAGCCAUGCCGCGUGCAGGAAGACGGUCCUCUGGAUUGUAAACUGCUUUUGUUAGGGAAGAAACUUCCGUACGUGUACGGGACUGACGGUACCUAAAGAAUAAGGAUCGGCUAACUCCGUGCCAGCAGCCGCGGUAACAC
rnacentral:rRNA from 1 species